UACGUAGGGACCAAGCGUUGUUCGGAUUUACUGGGCGUAAAGGGCGCGUAGGCGGCCUAACAAGUCACUUGUGAAAUCUCCGGGCUUAACUCGGAACGGCCAAGUGAAACUGUCAAGCUAGAGUGCAGAAGGGGCAAUCGGAAUUCUUGGUGUAGCGGUGAAAUGCGUAGAUAUCAAGAGGAACACCUGAGGUGAAGACGGGUUGCUGGGCUGACACUGACGCUGAGGCGCGAAAGCCAGGGGAGCAAACGGG
rnacentral:rRNA from 1 species